rnacentral:rRNA from 1 species
UACGUAGGGUGCGAGCGUUAAUCGGAAUUACUGGGCGUAAAGUGUGCGCAGGUGGCCGCGCAAGUCGAGUGUGAAAUCCCCGAGCUUAACUUGGGAAUUGCGCUCGAAACUACGUGGCUAGAGUGUGGCAGAGGGAGGUGGAAUUCCACGUGUAGCGGUGAAAUGCGUAGAGAUGCGGAGGAAUACCAGUGGCGAAGGCGACUUCCUGGACCUUAACUGACGCUGAAGCGCGAAAGCAUGGGGAGCGAACGGG